UACGAGGGGGGCGAGCGUUGGUCGGAAUUAUUGGGCGUAAAGGGUGCGUAGGCGGUUCCGCAAGUCCUGUGUGAAAUCUUCGGGCUCAACUCGAAGUCUGCACGGGAAACUGCGGGGCUUGAGUGUGGGAGAGGUGAGUGGAAUUCCCGGUGUAGCGGUGAAAUGCGCAGAGAUCGGGAGGAACACCCGUAGCGAAGGCGGCACUCUGGGCCGGUACUGACGCUGAGGAGCGAAAGCGUGGGGAGCAAACAGG
rnacentral:rRNA from 1 species